UACGUAGGGUGCGAGCGUUGUCCGGAAUUAUUGGGCGUAAAGAGCUCGUAGGCGGUGUGUCACGUCGGCCGUGAAAACCUGCAGCUUAACUGUGGGCGUGCGGUCGAUACGGGCAUCACUGGAGUUCGGCAGGGCAGACUGGAAUUCCUGGUGUAGCGGUGAAAUGCGCAGAUAUCAGGAGGAACACCGGUGGCGAAGGCGGGUCUCUGGGCCGAUACUGACGCUGAGGAGCGAAAGCGUGGGGAGCAAACAGG
rnacentral:rRNA from 1 species